CUUAAUAUCCUUGUAAGUGAAAUAAUGCAGCUUACUUAAAGAUAAUGCGUUCUAAGGGUAAGGGUGUAAAUAUAUUUUUCUUACACAAUCAGUCCUUUUAUUCAAAUUCUAGGACCGCUUAAGAUUCAAGGAUCCACCCACAUCAAUCUUGACGAAACCGAUCUGGAAAGAUGAUCUCUGCAACCCCACACAUGCAAUUAUUAUUAUUAUUAUUAUAACUUGAUUAAGAAGCCUUAAUUGUUGUAUCAUGAAUGCAUAUAACUUGAUUUUGCACAAAUAAGUAGUGUUCUAUAAAUUUUAAUCAAUAGCCUUUUAAACUCUCUUCCAAAUCUCCAGGUAAACAAUGCUGGGACAAACAUAUAUAAAGCGACCUUAGAUUACACAGCUGAGGAUUUCACAUCUCUCAUGAACACAAACCUUCAAUCUGCUUUCCAUUUGUCCCAACUUGCACAUCCCCUUUUGAAAGCUUCAGGGGCUGGAAAGAUUGUCUUCAUGUCUUCCAUUACUAGUGUGGUGUCUGUUAACACUCAGUAUCCUUUGUAUUCAGCUUCUAAAGGUACUUAACUACAUCUCUAGACCUGUUUUCUCAUUUUAAUUUUCUUUCUGUUUCUACUGCAAAAGCUUGUUCUCUGUCAUGACAUGUAGACUGCAGGUGCAACGAACCAACUGACAAGGAAUUUGGCGUGCGAAUGGGCUAAGGACAAUAUAAGGGUUAACGCAGUUGCACCCUGGUUCAUCCGAACUCCACUCACAGCACAUGUACAGCAUUCUACGAACUCACGAGUUCUCUAAUUAACGUUUGAUCUCCUUUCUACAUGUUUUUCCCUUUCAAUUCUCAUGAACUAACGCGAGACGAUCAGUUCUGCAACAUGAUUAUCUUACCGAACAUUUUUAUUGCUUCAGUUCUGCAAUAUGGAUGUACAUCAGUCUUAGGAGCUAGGUGAAUUAGGUUAAUUAACGUCAGCAACACAUUUGUUAUUAUCAGGCUAGUUUUUCUGUGAUCAUGAGUUAUCUAAUGCUUUUCCCUAACCAUUCAGAGUCUGGAUGAUGAGAACAUUGUGAAGGAGGUUUUCAAUCGAACCCCCAUGAGACGCGUUGGGGAACCAGGGGAGGUCUCUUCUGUUGUCGCAUUUCUAUGCUUGCCUGCACCAGGUUUCUUAACAGGACAAGUCAUAUGCAUUGACGGAGGGAUGUCAGUGAAUGGCUUUUCCAUGGGUUGAAAAUCAGCUGCUCUGACGCGUGAAUUCAUCUGCUUGUUGGAUUGAAUAAGGCAGUCUUAUUGCCCUUUGAUCAUGUUGUGAACUGCCCUGUCAAAUAAGAGGAUUGUCUCAGCCUCUCAGGUCUCAAUGACUUGGAGCUAAUUUAAUAAUAUUUUUUUUUGGGUGUUUUCCAUGCUCAAUAAACUAUUUUUUCAAUUAAUAUUUGCUUGUUUUCAAAGAAUAUGAGAAGGUUAUAUGCGGUGGUGGAGACAAUACUCAACUCCUUCUGUAAACUGAGAAAAUUGGUUUCUUCUUGAUAGAUUCUUGUUGUCCCGUCUUCUGGUUAAUAAUGAUUGUAGUGGACUUAAAUACUAUGCAUCGAUGGUGGGAGGUGCCUGAAGUCCUGGUGCUGCUGAUUCCUGUUUGUUCUGGGCAAUUCAAUCGCAAUAUAAGAAGCCAUGCACCUUGGGAAAACAUAACUGUAAUCAUCUACUUUUUUUUUAUAGAACAGUUUUUUUUUAGUAAGUAAAUUAUUUUUUAAUAUUUAGUAAUAUCAUAAAAAAUAAAUUAAAAAACAUUUUCCAGUAUUUGAUUAUUUUAUAAAAAUAAACCAAAAAAUAAAUUAUUAAUAUAUUUUUUUUCAAAUUUAUUACAAUAAUGAGAAAUAAAUCUUAUAAAUUAAAAGGUUGAAAGAGAAUAAAAUUGAAAAAAAUUAUUUAAUUUCAAAAUUAUUUUAAAUAAAAUAAAUAAAAAUCAAAAUAAUUAAGAUAAAAUCUAAUAGAUAAAAAAGUUGAAAGAUGAUAUUUUUUUUAAAAAAAAACUAUAAUUUCAUAAAUUAUUUCAAAUAAAAUAAAUAACCAUCAAAAGAAUGAAGAUCAAAUCUAAUAGAUAAAAAAAUUAAAUUAAUAAUAUGAGAAAAAAAUAACAAUCAUAAAAAUAAGGAUCAAAAUUGAUAUAAAAAUCAAAUUAAAUCUAAUCCUAAAAGCUGAAAUUAAAAAAAAAUUAAAAUAAAAUAUAUAACAAUCAAAAGUUUGAGAAUUAAAUUUGAUAUAAUCAGUAAAUAACAUAAUAUUUUUAAAUUUUUUAUAAUUUCAAAAAAUGUUUUUCACCCAAAAUAAAAAGAAAACACUUUCAUGUAAAUCAACCAAAAUUUUUUUUUACUCAAAAGUAUUUUUUAUUAACAAACAUUUCUAAUAAUAAAUAAAUAAAUUUAAAAAUAAUUUUUAAAAGACUACUUUCCAUAAACAAACAAGAUUUUAGAGUGAAUAUAGUGAGCUCAUGCCAUAGUUUCGAGAACCACGAGGCAAAUAAUACUUGUUUCGAAAUCCUAUCUAAUAUCACAUUUAUUUCGAGCAAAAUCUUACGAGGUGUGUUCAUUUCCUUUUCUUGUUAUUCGGGUUUGCCUCUUUUUUGAAUUACUGUAGAGACAACCAUUAGAAAUCAUCCCCUUAUAUAUUUAUUUUAAUGAUUGUAAACACCUCAAUUCGAGUGCCGUUUAGGGGAGUGGGUUUAACAAUUUAAUAUUAAUACAAUUAAAUGAUUUAAAAAUCUAAAAAAUAUUAAUUUUAAAUAAAAAAUAUUAAUUUUUUAAAAACAAGUAACGAAAACAAACACUACCUUAUAAACUAUUUGUAAUUGAAAAAAAUAUUUCAAGACCACACCAUACUAUGCCUUCAUGUAAAUCCAAGUCACUAGAAAAAGAUAUACAAUUAUUUGUAUCAAUUCAAUGAUUAUCUAUAAAAUUUGGUAUAUUAAUGUUUAUUAAUAUAUUUUUUAAUGUUUUUAAAUUAUUUUAAUAUAUUAAUAUAAAAAAUUAUUUUUUUAUUUUAAUAUAUUUCAAAUAAAAAACUUAAAAAAUAAUUCUUAACAAAUUUAAUAUUAGUUUUAUUUUGAGUGGCUGUGAACUAAACUACCUGUGUCCCACUUCUGAACGGUAGCUCCUGCUCCCAUCCAUCUUUAGCCCACACAUCCUGACGAUGGCCAUGACGUUCAUUCAUUGUUUUGCAAACUUCGUGGCUCACAUUCUUACUUACUUUCCCCAUUUAUUCUGGCUACUCAGUGUACUGUUCAUAACCUGUAUGUAUUAUUGAGCUUGAAGGAGAGAAGGAGAAGAUGUCUCUAGAACAGAGCAAUGGCAGGGAUAAGAGAUGGGGUCUCCAAGGAAUGACAGCCCUCGUCACCGGUGGAACCAAAGGGCUCGGGUAAUUAGAGCUCCUUCAUCUCCUUUCUACCUUCACCUUGCCUGAUGUUUAUUUUAGUUCCGCUGUCUUAAUACAUAAGCCUAAACCUGUUAAUUUUAAUGGAAGAUGAUACACUACUGUUCAUAAAUCUCUCAUUGUUUCUCCACAUUAAGGUAACCAGAUUCCUUACGUUUGCAAAUAAGUUCGGAAACAGACUAAAACUUUAACUCUCUCUAUCUUUAGUUUUUCCUUCUUCAUUCUUUUCCUUUUUGAGAUUCAGAUUUGAUGAUAUUUUGGUCCCUUAUUUUAUAAAAUGCUUGUCGAUCCGUUAGUAUCUCCCUCCAACUUCCUUAUAGAUGUUUCUUGGAGUUAAAAUUGGUGGCUUAAGAAUUAUAUUUGCCUCUUGCUGAUUGGUUAAGAUUUUGGACAAGUUGAUUGUUGACCGUUGGCUAUGGAAAGAGACCAACACUAUCCUCCGAAAUUCAAAUAAUAGCUUAGAGCUCGAAAAACCUAGUUUUUUUUUUAUCUUUCAAAGCACGCUGCAUCAAUAAUUGAAGUCGUUAAUGCGAAAGAGUACUGUUUGCUGAUGCAUUUUGAUCAGUUAUGCUAUUGUGGAAGAGUUAGCUGCGCUAGGGGCAAUUGUUCAUACAUGUGCGAGGAACCAAGACGAGCUCAAUGAACGCGUUAGGGAAUGGAAGGAGAAGGGUUUCAAAGUUACUGGUUCAGUCUGUGAUGUAUCCUCAAAUGCUGACAGAGAGAAGCUGAUGAAGGAGGUUUCCUCUCUGUUUGAUGGGAAGCUUAAUAUCCUUGUAAGUGAAAUAAUGCAGCUUACUUACGAAAAUGCAUCCUGUCGUGUUAAUAUUUUUUUUUUACGCAAUCAAUUCUUUUACUCAAAUUCUAGAACCACUUAAGAUUCUUAAUGAUCAAAAUAUUAAAUGAUGACUUGUAUUUUCUUUUUAUUGAGACAAGACAAGGAUCUAUCCAUAUCAUUUUGAACAAUACCAAUCCGGAAUGAUAAUCUCUACAACGCCACACACGUGAUUAAAAAGCCUUAAUUGAUUAAGAAAAUAUUAUUAUUGUUGUUAUCGUUACUCGAUUAAGAAGCCUUAAUUGUUGUAACAUGAAUGCAUAUAACUUGAUUUUGCAGAAAUAAGUAGUGUUCUAUAAAUUUUAAUCAAUAGCCUUUUAAACUCUCUUCCAAAUUUCCAGGUAAACAAUGCUGGGACAAACAUAUAUAAAGCGACCUUAGAUUACACAGCUGAGGAUUUCACAUCUCUCAUGAACACAAACCUGCAAUCUGCUUUCCAUUUGUCCCAACUUGCACAUCCCCUUUUGAAAGCUUCAGGGGCUGGAAAGAUUGUCUUCAUGUCUUCCAUUAUUAGUGUAGUCUCUAUGAACACUCAGUAUCCUUUGUAUUCAGCUUCAAA
rnacentral:lncRNA from 1 species